rnacentral:rRNA from 1 species
GACGAACGCUGGCGGCGUGCUUAACACAUGCAAGUCGAGCGGAAAGGCCCUUCGGGGUACUCGAGCGGCGAACGGGUGAGUAACACGUGGGUAACCUGCCCUUCACUCUGGGAUAACUCCGGGAAACCGGGGCUAAUACCGGAUACGACCACUUUAGGCAUCUUCGGUGGUGGAAAGUUUUUCGGUUGGAGGAUGGACCCGCGGCCUAUCAGCUUGUUGGUGGGGUAAUGGCCUACCAAGGCAGUGACGGGUAGCCGGCCUGAGAGGGCGACCGGCCACACUGGGACUGAGACACGGCCCAGACUCCUACGGGAGGCAGCAGUGGGGAAUAUUGCGCAAUGGGCGGGAAGCCUGACGCAGCGACGCCGCGUGAGGGAUGACGGG